rnacentral:tRNA from 1 species
GGAUUGUGGCUCAGUGGUAGAGCACUUGCCUAGCAUGUGUGAGGCCCUGGGUUCAAUUCUCAGCACCA